rnacentral:rRNA from 1 species
AAAGAAACCAACAGGGAUUGCCUCAGUAACGGCGAGUGAAGCGGCAAAAGCUCAAAUUUGAAAUCUAGCACUUUCAGUGUUCGAGUUGUAAUUUGAAGAAGGUAACUUUGGUUUUGGCUCUUGUCUAUGUUCCUUGGAACAGGACGUCACAGAGGGUGAGAAUCCCGUGCGAUGAGAUGCCCAAUUCCAUGUAAAGUGCUUUCGAAGAGUCGAGUUGUUUGGGAAUGCAGCUCUAAGUGGGUGGUAAAUUCCAUCUAAAGCUAAAUAUUGGCGAGAGACCGAUAGCGAACAAGUACAGUGAUGGAAAGAUGAAAAGAACUUUGAAAAGAGAGUGAAAAAGUACGUGAAAUUGUUGAAAGGGAAGGGCUUGAGAUCAGACUUGGUAUUUUGCGUUCCCUUCCUUUUUGGUUGGGUUCCUCGCAGUUUACUGGGCCAGCAUCGGUUUGGAUGGUAGGAUAAUGACAUUGGAAUGUAGCUUUACUUCGGUGAAGUGUUAUAGACUUUGUUGAUACUGCCUAUCUAGACCGAGGACUGCGUCUUUGACUAGGAUGCUGGCGUAAUGAUCUUAAGCCGCCC